CCAGAGCUUGCUCUGGUGAAAGUGGCGCACGGGUGAGUAACGCGUGGAUAACCUGCCCUGGUAUCUGGGAUAACAUCUCGAAAGGGGUGCUAAUACCGGAUAAGCCUACGGGCUCUUCGGAGUCUGCAGGAAAAGAAGGCCUCUAUUUAUAAGCUUCCGUAUCAUGAUGGGUCCGCGUACCAUUAGCUAGUUGGUGGGGUAAUGGCCUACCAAGGCGACGAUGGUUAGCUGGUCUGAGAGGAUGAUCAGCCACACUGGAACUGAGACACGGUCCAGACUCCUACGGGAGGCAGCAGUGGGGAAUUUUGCGCAAUGGGGGAAACCCUGACGCAGCAACGCCGCGUGAGUGAUGAAGGCUUUCGGGUCGUAAAGCUCUGUCAGAGGGGAAGAAAUGAAACGUGCUAAUAUCACGUUUUCUUGACGGUACCCUCAAAGGAAGCACCGGCUAACUCCGUGCCAGCAGCCGCGGUAAUAC
rnacentral:rRNA from 1 species